rnacentral:rRNA from 1 species
AUACGUAGGUGACAAGCGUUAUCCGGAUUUACUGGGCGUAAAGGGCGUGUAGGCGGUCUUGCAAGUCAGAAGUGAAAUUCCUGAGCUCAACUCGGGCGCUGCUGCUGAAACUGCAGGACUUGAGUGCUGGAGGGGAUAGCGGAAUUCCUAGUGGAGCGGUAAAAUGCGCAGAUAUUAGGAAGAACACCGGUGGCGAAGGCGGCUAUCUGGACAGUAACUGACGCUGAGGCGCGAAAGCGUGGGGAGCAAACAGGAUUAGAUACCCUGGUAGUCCACGCUGUAAACGAUGAAUACUAGGUGUGGGGGGACUGACCCCCUCCGUGCCGCAGUUAACACAAUAAGUAUUCCACCUGGGGAGUACGAUCGCAAGAUUGAAACUCAAAUGAAUUGACGGGG